rnacentral:rRNA from 1 species
UACGGAGGGUGCGAGCGUUGUCCGGAAUCACUGGGCGUAAAGGGCGCGUAGGCGGCCCUGGCAGUCGGUUGGUGAAAGCCCGCGGCUCAACUGCGGGUCGGCCACCGAUACUCCAGGGCUCGAGUUUGGUAGAGGCAGAUGGAAUUCCGGGUGUAGCGGUGGAAUGCGUAGAGAUCCGGAAGAACACCGGUGGCCGAAGGCGGUCUGCUGGGCCAAGAC